rnacentral:rRNA from 1 species
GGUAACACGAAAUCGUACCCCAAACCGACACAGGUGGUCAGGUAGAGAAUACCAAGGCGCUUGAGAGAACUCGGGUGAAGGAACUAGGCAAAAUGGUGCCGUAACUUCGGGAGAAGGCACGCUGAUAGGUAGGUGAAGCCCCUGCGGGCGGAGCUGAAAUCAGUCGAAGAUACCAGCUGGCUGCAACUGUUUAUUAAAAACACAGCACUGUGCAAACACGAAAGUGGACGUAUACGGUGUGACGCCUGCCCGGUGCCGGAAGGUUAAUUGAUGGG